rnacentral:tRNA from 9 species
GCGGCCGUAGCUCAACUGGUUAGUAGCACCCGCCUGUCACGCGGGAGGUUGGCGGUUCAAAUCCGCUCGGCCGCGCCC